AUACGUAGGGUGCGAGCGUUGUCCGGAAUUACUGGGCGUAAAGAGCUCGUAGGUGGUUUGUCGCGUCGUCUGUGAAAUUCCGGGGCUUAACUCCGGGCGUGCAGGCGAUACGGGCAUAACUUGAGUACUGUAGGGGAGACUGGAAUUCCUGGUGUAGCGGUGAAAUGCGCAGAUAUCAGGAGGAACACCGGUGGCGAAGGCGGGUCUCUGGGCAGUAACUGGCGCUGAGGAGCGAAAGCAUGGGUAGCGAACAGGAUUAGAUACCCUGGUAGUCCAUGCCGUAAACGGUGGGCGCUAGGUGUAGGGGUCUUCCACGACUUCUGUGCCGUAGCUAACGCAUUAAGCGUCCCGCCUGGGGAGUACGGCCGCAAGGCUAAAACUCAAAGGAAUUGA
rnacentral:rRNA from 1 species